CCUACGGGUGGCAGCAGUGAGGAAUAUUGGUCAAUGGGCGCGAGCCUGAACCAGCCAAGUCGCGUGAGGGAAGACGGUCCUCUGGAUUGUAAACCUCUUUUGUCGGGGAGCAAAAGACGCCACGCGUGGCGUUCCGAGAGUACCCGAAGAAAAAGCAUCGGCUCACUCCGUGCCAGCAGCCGCGGUAAUACGGGGGAUGCGAGCGUUCUCGGGAUUUAUUGGGUUUACAGGGAGUGCAGGCGGAAGAUCAAGUCAGCGGUAAAAUUGAGAGGUUCAACCUCUUCGGGCCGUUGAAACUGGUUUUCUUGAGUGAGCGAGAGGUAUGCGGAAUGCGGGGUGUAGCGGUGAAAUGCAUAGAUAUCACGCAGAACUCCGAUUGCGAAGGCAGCAUACCGGCGCUCAACUGACGCUCAUGCACGAAAGUGUGGGUAUCGAACAGGAUUAGAUACCCGAGUAGUC
rnacentral:rRNA from 1 species